CUCGUACUAUUCUUCUGUCCACAGAUACGGAUUCCAGUCCUCAAUAACACUCCUCUUCAGCCCUUGCUCGACACAGUCCACUUCAGCCCUCAAUUUCCAGCCGACUCCACUCCAGGUAAGUUUAAGGCAAGAGCCAGGCAGUUGACGUACAGGGAUUUUCUGGCUCUAGGGGAGGGGGGAUGGACUUCAAGACCCAAGGCUGAGCUGUUAGCACGCAGGGGUUCUAGCUCUCAGGUAAGUACAGAAUUCAAUACACAAGUGGGUAUUCACAGGGCUGGGCUGUUAACGCGCUGGGGUUCUAGCUCUCAGGUAAAUACAGAAUUCAAUACACAGGUGAGUAUUCACAGGGCUGGGCUGUUAGCGUGCAGGGGUUCCAGCUCUCAGGUAAGCACAAAGUUCAAUACACAAGUGAGUAUUCACAGGGCUGGGCUGUUAGCGUGCAGGGGUUCUAGCUCUCAGGUAAGCACAAAGUUCAAUACACAAGUGAGUAUUCACAGGGCUGGGCUGUUAGCGUGCAGGGGUUCUAGCUCUCAGGUAAGCACAAAGUUCAAUACACAGGUGAGUAUUCACAGGGCUGGGCUGUUAGCGUGCAGGGGUUCUAGCUCUCAGGUAAGCACAAAGUUCAAUACACAGGUGAGUAUUCACAGGGCUGGGCUGUUAGCGUGCAGGGGUUCUAGCUCUCAGGUAAGCACAAAGUUCAAUACACAGGUGAGUAUUCACAGGGCUGGGCUGUUAGCGUGCAGGGGUUCUAGCUCUCAGGUAAGCACAAAGUUCAAUACACAGGUGAGUAUUCACAGGGCUGGGCUGUUAGCGUGCAGGGGUUCUAGCUCUCAGGUAAGCACAAAGUUCAAUACACAGGUGAGUAUUCACAGGGCUGGGCUGUUAGCGUGCAGGGGUUCUAGCUCUCAGGUAAGCACAAAGUUCAAUACACAGGUGAGUAUUCACAGGGCUGGGCUGUUAGCGUGCAGGGGUUCUAGCUCUCAGGUAAGCACAAAGUUCAAUACACAGGUGAGUAUUCACAGGGCUGGGCUGUUAGCGUGCAGGGGUUCUAGCUCUCAGGUAAGCACAAAGUUCAAUACACAGGUGAGUAUUCACAGGGCUGGGCUGUUAGCGUGCAGGGGUUCUAGCUCUCAGGUAAGCACAAAGUUCAAUACACAGGUGAGUAUUCACAGGGCUGGGCUGUUAGCGUGCAGGGGUUCUAGCUCUCAGGUAAGCACAAAGUUCAAUACACAGGUGAGUAUUCACAGGGCUGGGCUGUUAGCGUGCAGGGGUUCUAGCUCUCAGGUAAGCACAAAGUUCAAUACACAGGUGAGUAUUCACAGGGCUGGGCUGUUAGCGUGCAGGGGUUCUAGCUCUCAGGUAAGCACAAAGUUCAAUACACAGGUGAGUAUUCACAGGGCUGGGCUGUUAGCGUGCAGGGGUUCUAGCUCUCAGGUAAGCACAAAGUUCAAUACACAGGUGAGUAUUCACAGGGCUGGGCUGUUAGCGUGCAGGGGUUCUAGCUCUCAGGUAAGCACAAAGUUCAAUACACAGGUGAGUAUUCACAGGGCUGGGCUGUUAGCGUGCAGGGGUUCUAGCUCUCAGGUAAGCACAAAGUUCAAUACACAGGUGAGUAUUCACAGGGCUGGGCUGUUAGCGUGCAGGGGUUCUAGCUCUCAGGUAAGCACAAAGUUCAAUACACAGGUGAGUAUUCACAGGGCUGGGCUGUUAGCGUGCAGGGGUUCUAGCUCUCAGGUAAGCACAAAGUUCAAUACACAGGUGAGUAUUCACAGGGCUGGGCUGUUAGCGUGCAGGGGUUCUAGCUCUCAGGUAAGCACAAAGUUCAAUACACAGGUGAGUAUUCACAGGGCUGGGCUGUUAGCGUGCAGGGGUUCUAGCUCUCAGGUAAGCACAAAGUUCAAUACACAGGUGAGUAUUCACAGGGCUGGGCUGUUAGCGUGCAGGGGUUCUAGCUCUCAGGUAAGCACAAAGUUCAAUACACAGGUGAGUAUUCACAGGGCUGGGCUGUUAGCGUGCAGGGGUUCUAGCUCUCAGGUAAGCACAAAGUUCAAUACACAGGUGAGUAUUCACAGGGCUGGGCUGUUAGCGUGCAGGGGUUCUAGCUCUCAGGUAAGCACAAAGUUCAAUACACAGGUGAGUAUUCACAGGGCUGGGCUGUUAGCGUGCAGGGGUUCUAGCUCUCAGGUAAGCACAAAGUUCAAUACACAGGUGAGUAUUCACAGGGCUGGGCUGUUAGCGUGCAGGGGUUCUAGCUCUCAGGUAAGCACAAAGUUCAAUACACAGGUGAGUAUUCACAGGGCUGGGCUGUUAGCGUGCAGGGGUUCUAGCUCUCAGGUAAGCACAAAGUUCAAUACACAGGUGAGUAUUCACAGGGCUGGGCUGUUAGCGUGCAGGGGUUCUAGCUCUCAGGUAAGCACAAAGUUCAAUACACAGGUGAGUAUUCACAGGGCUGGGCUGUUAGCGUGCAGGGGUUCUAGCUCUCAGGUAAGCACAAAGUUCAAUACACAGGUGAGUAUUCACAGGGCUGGGCUGUUAGCGUGCAGGGGUUCUAGCUCUCAGGUAAGCACAAAGUUCAAUACACAGGUGAGUAUUCACAGGGCUGGGCUGUUAGCGUGCAGGGGUUCUAGCUCUCAGGUAAGCACAAAGUUCAAUACACAGGUGAGUAUUCACAGGGCUGGGCUGUUAGCGUGCAGGGGUUCUAGCUCUCAGGUAAGCACAAAGUUCAAUACACAGGUGAGUAUUCACAGGGCUGGGCUGUUAGCGUGCAGGGGUUCUAGCUCUCAGGUAAGCACAAAGUUCAAUACACAGGUGAGUAUUCACAGGGCUGGGCUGUUAGCGUGCAGGGGUUCUAGCUCUCAGGUAAGCACAAAGUUCAAUACACAGGUGAGUAUUCACAGGGCUGGGCUGUUAGCGUGCAGGGGUUCUAGCUCUCAGGUAAGCACAAAGUUCAAUACACAGGUGAGUAUUCACAGGGCUGGGCUGUUAGCGUGCAGGGGUUCUAGCUCUCAGGUAAGCACAAAGUUCAAUACACAGGUGAGUAUUCACAGGGCUGGGCUGUUAGCGUGCAGGGGUUCUAGCUCUCAGGUAAGCACAAAGUUCAAUACACAGGUGAGUAUUCACAGGGCUGGGCUGUUAGCGUGCAGGGGUUCUAGCUCUCAGGUAAGCACAAAGUUCAAUACACAGGUGAGUAUUCACAGGGCUGGGCUGUUAGCGUGCAGGGGUUCUAGCUCUCAGGUAAGCACAAAGUUCAAUACACAGGUGAGUAUUCACAGGGCUGGGCUGUUAGCGUGCAGGGGUUCUAGCUCUCAGGUAAGCACAAAGUUCAAUACACAGGUGAGUAUUCACAGGGCUGGGCUGUUAGCGUGCAGGGGUUCUAGCUCUCAGGUAAGCACAAAGUUCAAUACACAGGUGAGUAUUCACAGGGCUGGGCUGUUAGCGUGCAGGGGUUCUAGCUCUCAGGUAAGCACAAAGUUCAAUACACAGGUGAGUAUUCACAGGGCUGGGCUGUUAGCGUGCAGGGGUUCUAGCUCUCAGGUAAGCACAAAGUUCAAUACACAGGUGAGUAUUCACAGGGCUGGGCUGUUAGCGUGCAGGGGUUCUAGCUCUCAGGUAAGCACAAAGUUCAAUACACAGGUGAGUAUUCACAGGGCUGGGCUGUUAGCGUGCAGGGGUUCUAGCUCUCAGGUAAGCACAAAGUUCAAUACACAGGUGAGUAUUCACAGGGCUGGGCUGUUAGCGUGCAGGGGUUCUAGCUCUCAGGUAAGCACAAAGUUCAAUACACAGGUGAGUAUUCACAGGGCUGGGCUGUUAGCGUGCAGGGGUUCUAGCUCUCAGGUAAGCACAAAGUUCAAUACACAGGUGAGUAUUCACAGGGCUGGGCUGUUAGCGUGCAGGGGUUCUAGCUCUCAGGUAAGCACAAAGUUCAAUACACAGGUGAGUAUUCACAGGGCUGGGCUGUUAACAUGCUACUCACCACUGAAGAUAUUCAGAGGUCGGUGUUCCCAGCGGAUACGGGUUUUGGUCGAUGACUGA
ensembl:lncRNA